GAAAUGCGAUAAGUAAUGUGAAUUGCAGAAUUCAGUGAAUCAUCGAAUCUUUGAACGCACCUUGCGCUCCUUGGUAUUCCUUGGAGCAUGCCUGUUUGAGUAUCAUGAAAUCUUCAAAGUAAAUCUUUUGUUAACUCAAUUGGUUUCCACUUUGGUAUUGGAGGUCUUUGCAGCUUCACACCUGCUCCUCUUUGUUCAUUAGCUGGAUCUCAGUGUUAUGCUUGGUUCCACUCGGCGUGAUAAGUUAUCUAUCGCUGAGGACACUGUAAAAGGUGGCCAAGGUAAAUGCAGAUGAACCGCUUCUAAUAGUCCAUUGACUUGGACAAUACUUUUAUGAUCUGAUCUCAAAUCAGGUAGGACUACCCGCUGAACUUAAGC
rnacentral:misc_RNA from 1 species